rnacentral:sRNA from 1 species
GCUGGGCAUGUUGACACAUACCUGUAAUUCCAGCAACUUGGAAGGCUGAGGCAGAGGAUUCCAAGUUUAAGGCCUUGUCUCAAA